AGAAAGUAAAAUUUGUACUUUUCAAAAGGAAAAAAUGAGUGCUUUUUUUUUUUUAUCCGAACAUAAAAGAAAUCUUUUUUCUUGUCAGCGGAAGUCCGGAACCCAACCCCUUGGAAGCAGGUGGCGUGCACAGUUAACUGCAGCUGUGUGGAUGCUUAAAAAAGAAGCAAGCAUGCGUUGACCGAUUGAUUUUGUUUGACUUUGAUGUUUUAUGUGUCAUCUCUCUUGUGAUUAGUAAUGACUUGCUUGCUGAGGGACUAUCGCUGCCUCAUUUCUCUUGACUGUCUUUUGACAGGAAACAUGUGGGGAUGGCUGUGAAGAGUACUGCAAAAUUGAGAUGCCCAGAGGUGUUGUUACCUUGUUCAUCAUCCAGUGUCAAGAGACUGGUAAGAUUGAAGCAAUCCAAAGCCAGGAGGAAGCAGCUGCAGCAACUGCUUCCGCUCGAUAUCAGGCAAGACUAAUGAGGCGACACUAGAAUAUAGAAGGAGACUUCUUUGUAGAUCACACAUGCAUAGAUUGCGAUGCCUGCCGUUGGAUGGCUCCACUAGUAUUCAAACGAAUUGGUGAGAUGUCUGCAGUUGUUUUUAAGCAGCCAACUUCUGGGGAGGAACGCCUCGAAGCUCCUCAGGCCUUACUUUCUUGUCCAACGAGUUCAAUCCAUACCGAGAAACCUGCUCCAGAUUUGUUCAAGCAGAGAAGACAUUUCCUACACCAAUUGAUCAGCAGAAAAAUACCAGUAGCUUUUCUUCAGCAUUCAUAUUUUGUACACAUACACCAUCACUCGAAAAUUCAAAAAUAUCACUUGAGCAUCUAUAUCAGGUCCUGGUUUAAUCAUGACAAGCACCGUAUGAUAGCCUUCGUACCAACUGUUCCAAUCAAGUUGC